rnacentral:rRNA from 1 species
GACGAACGCUGGCGGCGUGCUUAACACAUGCAAGUCGAACGGAAAGGCCCUGCUUUUGUGGGGUGCUCGAGUGGCGAACGGGUGAGUAACACGUGAGUAACCUGCCCUUGACUUUGGGAUAACUUCAGGAAACUGGGGCUAAUACCGGAUAGGAGCUCCUGCUGCAUGGUGGGGGUUGGAAAGUUUCGGCGGUUGGGGAUGGACUCGCGGCUUAUCAGCUUGUUGGUGGGGUAGUGGCUUACCAAGGCUUUGACGGGUAGCCGGCCUGAGAGGGUGACCGGCCACAUUGGGACUGAGGUACGGCCCAGACUCCUACGGGAGGCAGCAGUGGGGAAUAUUGCAGAAUGGGCGGAAGCCUGAUGCAGCAACGCCGCGUGCGGGAUGACGGCCUUCGGGUUGUAAACCGCUUUCGCCUGUGACGAAGCGUGAGUGACGGUAAUGGGUAAAGAAGCACCGGCUAACUACGUG